UACAGAGGGUGCGGGCGUUAAUCGGAUUUACUGGGCGUAAAGCGUGUGUAGGCGGUUGGAAAAGUCGAUUGUGAAAUCCCUGGGCUCAACCCGGGAACUGCUUUCGAUACUAUCUGACUAGAAUUCGGUAGAGGGAGGCGGAACUCCAGGUGUAGCGGUGAAAUGCGUAGAUAUCUGGAAGAACACCAAUGGCGAAGGCAACCUCCUGGGCCAGAAUUGACGCUGAGGCACGAAAGCGUGGGGAUCAAACAGG
rnacentral:rRNA from 1 species